rnacentral:tRNA from 1 species
UUAAAAGGAGACAUGUCAGCCGGAUGCGGUGGUGCACACAUGUAAUCCCAGCUGCUUGGGGGCUGAGGCAGGAGGAUCUUGAGUUCAAUGCUAAUCUCAGCAAAAGUGAGGCACUAAGCCACUCAGUGAGACCCUGUCUCUAAAUAAAAUACAAAAUAAGGCUGAGGAUGUGGCUUAAUGGCUGAGUGCUCCUGAAUUCAAUCCCUGGUAGACCCUCCCCCGCCCCCCAAAAGAGACAUGUCACUAGGAGGCUGUCAGUGAGGGUUUAAAGGAAGGAAAAUGUUGGAAGCUAGAACAAAGGUGAUUCAUGUUACAUAGUAGCAGAAAGCUAGCAAUGCUGGCAGUAUUAACAGUGAAAAAUAAAACAUUUAUUUCAUCAACUGGAUGAUAGCUAAGGAGCUUUCUAGGCAGAGUGUUGAAAGUGCUCUUAAGAAUCUUCUAGCUGGAGCUGGGGUUGUGGCUCAGUGGUAGAGUGCCUGCCUAGCAUGCAGGAGGCACUGGGUUCAAUCCUCAGCACCAUAUAAAAUAAAGACAUUGUGACCACCUAAAACUUAAGAAUAAUAAAAAAAGAAUCUUCUAGCUGCCUAUAGUAAAAGAUAAGAGGAGAGAGGUGAGCAGAGGAAGAAUUGUUAAAUAUAGAGGCGCCAUUCUUUAGGAUUGAAAAGUGUGUUAGUUAGCUUUUGCAUUGCUGUGACCAAAAUAUCCAACAAGAAAAACUUAGAAGAGGAAAAGUUUAUUUGGUGCUUACUGUUGCAGAGGUCUCAAUCCAUAUGCAGCCAACUCCAUUGCUCUGGGCCCAAAGUGAGGCAGUACAUCAUGGGGGAAGGACCCAGGGGAGAAAAAGGGCUUAGCUCAUGGCAAGGUCAGGAAGGGGGAGGCAGGGAAGAUGCAGGACCUACCUCCUCUAGCCACAUCACACCUGUGUAUAGUUGCCACCUAUUCAGUCCGUUCAAAUGAGGACAGACUGAUUAGAUUAUAGCUCUCAUCUAAUCAUUUUAAUCUCUGCAUAUUCCUGCACUAGCAGGAGCUUUUGGGGAAGACACCUCAUAUUUAAACCACGAGAAAAAGCAAAAACUGUUAUAGGUUCAGCAAUUGAACGGAAAACAGAAUCAGUCUGGAAUGGCCUCUACCCACUUAAGACAGUUGACACAUAGCCAGUGGUGGUUAGUGUCAGCUGGGGUAUUAGCAUUACAACAUCACUUUAGAGGUGAUGGGUGUUAAGGGAGGUUUUCUUGUGGUUUUUGUUUUUUUUUUUUUUUAAUGAAGACAUGGCUUUGUUUAGAUAUAAUAACUUGAUUCUUAUAAAACUAUAUUUGAAAGAUCAAUUUGGAAGAGAUAAGACAAAGAACAGUAAUGAGGUAGCUGAAAAUUGUUUUAUCUGUCCUCCUUAUAACUGUAAGUCACUAUUAAUCAGUACCUGUUAUUUUAC